CCUCAACACUAUUCAUAAAACUAAGCAACCUUUCCCUGUAAACUGCACAUAAUUGCUCUUGAUGCUCCAACUCUUUAGUUAGUUCUUCAAUUUUCUUAUCUUUGUCACCCGCUGUACUGAAUCCGUUAGCAGUAACAACCAGAGGAUGAUUAUGAUCUUUUUCAAAUCUUGUAACAACCCAUUUUCCAGACUUUUCCAUUUUCACCAGGAUUGUUGCCUUGCAACCUUCCCGUGCACUAGACCGUGUCUUCUUAUCUGGUCCAAUUGUGCUCUUAUGAUUAGGUGAAAACCCCUGUUUAUUACAUCCAAGUCGACGAGCAAGUGUUCUGCCAUCAAUCCCAGAACGACGCCGUUGCAUAAUUCGCACAACAAAUCCUAC
rnacentral:misc_RNA from 1 species